rnacentral:rRNA from 1 species
GAGGGGCAGCAUGGUCUUAGCUUGCUAAGGCUGAUGGCGACCGGCGCACGGGUGAGUAACACGUAUCCAACCUGCCGUCUACUCUUGGCCAGCCUUCUGAAAGGAAGAUUAAUCCAGGAUGGCAUCAUGAGUUCACAUGUCCGCAUGAUUAAAGGUAUUUUCCGGUAGACGAUGGGGAUGCGUUCCAUUAGAUAGUAGGCGGGGUAACGGCCCACCUAGUCAACGAUGGAUAGGGGUUCUGAGAGGAAGGUCCCCCACAUUGGAACUGAGACACGGUCCAAACUCCUACGGGAGGCAGCAGUGAGGAAUAUUGGUCAAUGGGCGAUGGCCUGAACCAGCCAAGUAGCGUGAAGGAUGACUGCCCUAUGGGUUGUAAACUUCUUUUAUAAAGGAAUAAAGUCGGGUAUGCAUACCCGUUUGCAUGUACUUUAUGAAUAAGGAUCGGCUAACUCCGUGCCAGCAGCCGCGGUAAUACGGAGGAUCCGAGCGUUAUCCGGAUUUAUUGGGUUUAAAGGGAGCGUAGAUGGAUGUUUAAGUCAGUUGUGAAAGUUUGCGGCUCAACCGUAAAAUUGCAGUUGAUACUGGAUGUCUUGAGUGCAGUUGAGGCAGGCGGAAUUCGUGGUGUAGCGGUGAAAUGCUUAGAUAUCACGAAGAACUCCGAUUGCGAAGGCAGCCUGCUAAGCUGCAACUGACAUUGAGGCUC